UCGGGAAUUUUGGGCAAUGGGCGAAAGCCUGACCCAGCAACGCCGCGUGAAGGAUGAAGUAUUUCGGUAUGUAAACUUCGAAAGAAUAGGAAGAAUAAAUGACGGUACUAUUUAUAAGGUCCGGCUAACUACGUGCCAGCAGCCGCGGUAAUACGUAGGGACCAAGCGUUGUUCGGAUUUACUGGGCGUAAAGGGCGCGUAGGCGGCAAUUCAAGUCAUCUGUGAAAUCUCCGGGCUUAACUCGGAGCGGCCAAGUGAUACUGUUAGGCUAGAGUGCAGAAAGGGCAAUCGGAAUUCUUGGUGUAGCGGUGAAAUGCGUAGAUAUCAAGAGGAACACCUGAGGCGAAGGCGGGUUGCUGGGCUGAUACUGACGCUGAAGCGCGAAAGCUAGGGUAGCAAACGGGAUUAGAUACCCGAGUAGUCCCUGAGCGGGCUGGCAAGGCGCAU
rnacentral:rRNA from 1 species